rnacentral:rRNA from 1 species
AGAGUUUGAUCCUGGCUCAGGAUGAACGCUAGCUACAGGCUUAACACAUGCAAGUCGAGGGGCAGCAUGGUCUUAGCUUGCUAAGGCUGAUGGCGACCGGCGCACGGGUGAGUAACACGUAUCCAACCUGCCGUCUACUCUUGGCCAGCCUUCUGAAAGGAAGAUUAAUCCAGGAUGGGAUCAUGAGUUCACAUGUCCGCAUGAUUAAAGGUAUUUUCCGGUAGACGAUGGGGAUGCGUUCCAUUAGAUAGUAGGCGGGGUAACGGCCCACCUAGUCAACGAUGGAUAGGGGUUCUGAGAGGAAGGUCCCCCACAUUGGAACUGAGACACGGUCCAAACUCCUACGGGAGGCAGCAGUGAGGAAUAUUGGUCAAUGGGCGAUGGCCUGAACCAGCCAAGUAGCGUGAAGGAUGACUGCCCUAUGGGUUGUAAACUUCUUUUAUAAAGGAAUAAAGUCGGGUAUGCAUACCCGUUUGCAUGUACUUUAUGAAUAAGGAUCGGCUAACUCCGUGCCAGCAGCCGCGG